GAUGAAGAACGCAGUGAAAUGCGAUAAGUAAUGUGAAUUGCAGAAUUCAGUGAAUCAUCGAAUCUUUGAACGCACAUUGCGCCCGCCAGUAUUCUGGCGAGCAUGCCUGUCCGAGCGUCAUUUCAACCCUCGGGCCCCCCUCUGCGGGCGGCCCGGCGUUGGGGCUCAGGCGCCGUCUCUGCUCGGCGCCUGUCCCCUAAAUGCAGUGGCGGCCUCGCCGCUGCCUCCUCCGCGUAGUAGCACAAACCUCGCGGCUGGAAGGCGGCGCGGCCACGCCGUAAAACCCCCCAACUUUACCAAGGUUGACCUCGGAUCAGGUAGGAAUACCCGCUGAACUUAAGCAUAUCAAUAAGCGGAGGA
rnacentral:misc_RNA from 1 species